AACGAACGCUGGCGGCGUGCCUAACACAUGCAAGUCGAGCGAGAAAGCCCGCAAGGGUGAGUAAAGCGGCGCACGGGUGCGUAACACGUGGGUAAUCUGCCCUAGAGUCUGGAAUAACUCGCCGAAAGGCGUGCUAAUGCCGGAUGAGACCACGGGAGCCUCGGCUCCUGCGGGAAAAGGUGGCCUCUGUAUACAAGCUAUCGCUCUUGGAUGAGCCCGCGGCCCAUCAGCUUGUUGGCGGGGUAACGGCCCACCAAGGCUACGACGGGUAGCUGGUCUGAGAGGACGAUCAGCCACACUGGAACUGAGACACGGUCCAGACUCCUACGGGAGGCAGCAGUGGGGAAUCUUGCGCAAUGGGCGAAAGCCUGACGCAGCAACGCCGCGUGUGUGAUGAAGGUCUUCGGAUCGUAAAGCACUGUCGCGAGGGACGAAUAAGGGCCGGGUUAACAGCCCGGCACGAUGACGGUACCUCGAGAGGAAGCACCGGCUAACUCUGUGCCAGCCGCCGCAGUAA
rnacentral:rRNA from 1 species